CAAUAGCGUAUAUUAAAGCUGUUGCGGUUAAAAAGCUCGUAGUUGGAUUUCUGUCAAGGACAACUGGUCCGCCCUCCGGGUGAGCACAUAGUUUGGUCUUGACAUCUUGCUGGAAGCUGUUGCUGCACUUGGCUGUGUGGCGCAGUGUUCAGCACUUUCACUUUGAGGAAAUUGGAGUGUUUCAAGCAGGCACAUGCCUUUGGACACAGUAGCAUGGAAUAAUUAGAUUGGGCUUUUGCUCCAAUUUGUCGGUUUCUGGAGCUGAGGUGAGUAUUAAUGGGGAUUGUUGGGGGCAUCCGAUUUUAGCCGUCAGAGGUGAAAUUCUUGGAUCUGCUAAAGACGGACAACUGCGAAAGCGUUUGCCCAGGAUGUUUUCAUUAA
rnacentral:rRNA from 1 species